AGGGUUAUGCUUAUAGAUGGUUCUAUAAUAGAUUUGCAAAAUCUACUUUUAGGGUUCAAUUCCUUCUUAACCCUU
rnacentral:tRNA from 1 species